rnacentral:rRNA from 1 species
UUCCGGUUGAUCCUGCCGGACCUGACUGCUAUCGGAUUGGUACUAAGCCAUGCGAGUCAUUGUAGCAAUACAAGGCGGACGGCUCAGUAACACGUAGUCAACCUAACUCGUGGACGUGGAUAACCUCGGGAAACUGAGAAUAAACCACGAUAGAUCAUAGUGCCUGGAAUGGCUUAUGGUCCAAACAGUUUACUGCCAUGGGAUGGGACUGCGGCCUAUCAGCUUGUUGGUGAGGUAAUGGCCCACCAAGGCGAUUACAGGUACGGGCUCUGAGAGGAGAAGCCCGGAGAUGGGUACUGAGACACGGACCCAGGCCCUAUGGGGCGCAGCAGGCGAGAAACCUUAGCAAUGUGCGAAAGCACGACUGGGUCAGUCCGAGUGAUUCCUGAUAAAGGAGUCUUUUGCUUGUCCUAAAAGCACAGGUGAAUAAGGGGUGGGCAAGUCUGGUGUCAGCCACCGCGGUAAUACCAGCACCUCGAGUGGUCAGGACGUUUAUUGGGCCUAAAGCAUCCGUAGCCGGCUUUGCAAGUCUUCGGUUAAAUCCACCUGCUCAACAGAUGGGCCGCUGGAGAUACUACAAAGCUAGGGAGUGGGAGAGGCAGACGGUAUUCAGUGGGUAGGGGUAAAAUCCUCUGAUCCAUUGAGGACCACCAGUGGCGAAGGCGGUCUGCCAGAACACGUUCGACGGUGAGGGAUGAAAGCUGGGGGAGCAAACCGGAUUAGAUACCCGGGUAGUCCCAGCUGUAAACGAUGCAAACUCGGUGAUGCAUUGGCUUAUGGCCAAUGCAGUGCCGCAGGGAAGCCGUUAAGUUUGCCGCCUGGGAAGUACGGACGCAAGUCUGAAACUUAAAGGAAUUGGCGGGGGAGCACCACAAGGGGUGAAGCCUGCGGUUCAAUUGGAUU